rnacentral:lncRNA from 1 species
CCUCUGGUGCCUCAACCUCUGCUGGCUUUGGGGCCGCCUUGGGAGCCUCUUUCUUGGCCUCCUUUGGUUUAGCAGGAGCAGCCUUCUUCUGAACAGGAGGUACAACCUCUGCCUGCUUGAAAUCGCCAAUGACCUUCUUGAAGUUAGGCUGGUUAACCAUGGUCCAGAAGUACCUCUCAACAUGAGGGAACUCAGAUGUGAAAGUCUUGGUCAAGAUCCGAGCAAAACCAUGGUAGAGGUUGCAUGUAAUGACAAUAUCAGCCAGAGUGACAGAAUGCCCAACAAGGAAUGUGUUUGAUGCCAGGUGUGUGUUCAAUGCUUC